rnacentral:rRNA from 1 species
UACGGGAGGCAGCAGUGGGGAAUAUUGCACAAUGGGCGCAAGCCUGAUGCAGCGACGCCGCGUGAGGGAUGAAGGCCUUCGGGUUGUAAACCUCUUUCAGUAGGGAAGAAGCGAAAGUGACGGUACCUGCAGAAGAAGCGCCGGCUAACUACGUGCCAGCAGCCGCGGUAAUACGUAGGGCGCAAGCGUUAUCCGGAAUUAUUGGGCGUAAAGAGCUCGUAGGCGGUUUGUCGCGUCUGCCGUGAAAGUCCGGGGCUUAACUCCGGAUCUGCGGUGGGUACGGGCAGACUAGAGUGCAGUAGGGGAGACUGGAAUUCCUGGUGUAGCGGUGAAAUGCGCAGAUAUCAGGAGGAACACCGAUGGCGAAGGCAGGUCUCUG